AUACGACAACGUCGUCCUUCUCAGUUCUCCCCCACAAACUCCUUUCUGUUUGGAUCAUCUCAAUUUUCUAACUUAUUAUUACACUCAUUCCUCUGUCCUUUUCCUGUUUAGUUGAUAUAGAAUGAGGUUUUGGUUGUUUUAGAGAAUUUUUGUUUUCUUACCUGUAGAAAGAAAUUGAGGAUGUAUGUUUUUGUGUUGGAAGGGUGGAGGCAGUAGUUUUUGAAAAAAAAGGUUGUUUUUUCAAUUUUUUAUUUCUGUGUUCAUGGUUGUUUCAAUGGAUCUUCGUCUAAUAUAAAUAGAGCUAAAUUGAAUGCCUAUUUUUCUGCAUUGUAUUUGCCUUUUUAAAUUCAUUCCUUUUUCUUGAUGAAUGUAAUUUGGUUUUGCAGGUCAAACUUUUCCAGCAAGAAGAUUUAAGCUUUGAAUUGGAUCGAGGUAUAAAUGUUUCCACUUAUUUAGUGUGCUCAAUUGAUUAUUGCUUUGAAUGCAUUGUGGUUGGAACAUGAUUUAGUACGUAUUUGAUUGACAAUGAGAAAUUGAGAGAUUUAUGUUUUGGGAUCAGACAGAAUCCCUUUAACCACAGAUACUAUUUUUGGUGAGUUUUUUUUAGUGAGACAAUGAUGUUAUUAUAAUGCAGUUGGUUAUUCUUUUUUGUAGUUGAUCAAAUCCAAAUGUUUUCUUACAUGCCCUUCGAUAUAAAUACUCACAGCUCUCUCUCUCUCUCUCUCUCUCUCAGCUCACACACGCACACAGAAACUACCACAUUGCUAGAAAAGCUGAAGAAACACUAGAAUUUAGUGAGUCUGAAACGUUGAGGUUGACAUUUAAGGUUCUCUUUCUUUCAGAGGCUAGAAAAUAUCUGGAUCUGCUUCAAAUUUCAAUUUUUGUGGCCAGAUUUUUGUGCCCCGUACGGUUUGUGUUGUGCUAAAAGCAUGAUUGUUAACGUUUGAGUGGUUUAAGGGAAUGUCCAACUGAGUUGGGAAGUUUUUGUUCAUUCUGUUAAGAUACUCUUUUUUGUGAAGAUUUUUUUAAUCUGAAAAUGCCCGAGAGUUGAAUGUGACAAAGUAAGCAGAUCAGCAUGUAAACCAGAAACCAAGAAGCUCAAACCCUGAGAAUUCAAUGUAAUCAACCUUAGUUAUGCGACUCAAAAUCUGAGGUAGCCUCUGGACCUUAUUCUCAGGAAGGUAGCAUUUUCCAAUUUUUCAUCUUUACUUUUUUAGUUAUUUUCUGUUCGGUUGUUGAGAAAGUGAUGGAAAUAUAGUUAUCUGUAAAUAUGGAAACUUGAAUCUGUGCAGACUCCUUGGUUCUGUAUUGGGUUCUGUGGAGGUUUAGGGUUUUAAUUCUGAAUGAUUUGUUCAUAUUUGUGUUGAAUUUAUUCAACUUAAAUGUGUUUUAUUUAUCCGAUUACGCCUGAAACAGCUGAUUCCUGCAGCAACGUGCGGACGUAAUUUCUAAUUUAUAACUAAGAUAGUGCUCUGUCAACUAUACAUUAUUUUAAUGAGUCUAAAAGGACCCUACGCGUUAAUGAUGAG